rnacentral:snoRNA from 15 species
AGCCAGUGAUGAGACAUUUCCAUUUCUGACACCUCGUAUGAAAUCUGCAUGUGCAGUUUGAUUAUAUAGCAACCCUGAGGCUC